rnacentral:rRNA from 1 species
UACGUAGGGUGCAAGCGUUAAUCGGAAUUACUGGGCGUAAAGCGUGCGCAGGCGGUUAUGUAAGACAGAUGUGAAAUCCCCGGGCUCAACCUGGGAACUGCAUUUGUGACUGCAUAGCUAGAGUACGGUAGAGGGGGAUGGAAUUCCGCGUGUAGCAGUGAAAUGCGUAGAUAUGCGGAGGAACACCGAUGGCGAAGGCAAUCCCCUGGACCUGUACUGACGCUCAUGCACAAAAGCGUGGGGAGCAAACAGG